UACGGAGGGAGCUAGCGUUAUUCGGAAUUACUGGGCGUAAAGCGCACGUAGGCGGCUUUGUAAGUUAGAGGUGAAAGCCUGGAGCUCAACUCCAGAAUUGCCUUUAAGACUGCAUCGCUUGAAUCCAGGAGAGGUGAGUGGAAUUCCGAGUGUAGAGGUGAAAUUCGUAGAUAUUCGGAAGAACACCAGUGGCGAAGGCGGCUCACUGGACUGGUAUUGACGCUGAUGUGCGAAAGCGUGGGGAGCAAACAGG
rnacentral:rRNA from 1 species